rnacentral:rRNA from 1 species
UUACUUGGUAUAACUGCGGUAAUUCUGGAGCUAAUACAUGCUUUCGAUCCCCGAACUUGCGUGAGGGGUGCUUUUAUUAGAUCAAAACCAAACGUCUUCGGACGUCCCCCUGGUGAUUCUGAAUAACUUUUUGCCGAUCGCACGGCUUCACGCCGGCGACGUGUCCAUCUAAGGUGUGCCCUAUCAACUGUCGACUGUGGCAUAGACGCCCACAGUGGUUUUGACGGGUAACGGGGAAUCAGGGUUCGAUUCCGGAGAGGGAGCCUGAGAAACGGCUACCACUUCUAAGGAAGGCAGCAGGCACGCAAAUUACCCACUGGUCGAAGACCGAGGUAGUGACGAAAAAUAACGAUACCAGACUCAUCCGAGGCCUGGUAAUCGGAAUGAGUACACUUUAAACCUUUUAACGAGGAACAAUUGGAGGGCAAGUCUGGUGCCAGCAGCCGCGGUAAUUCCAGCUCCAAUAGCGUAUAUUAAUGUUGUUGCGGUUAAAAAGCUCGUAGUUGGAUCUCGGCGGGCAGGGGACGGUUCGUUGUUUGACGCUACUGUCCCAUUGUCCCGUGAUGUUUGGUCGGAGGUUCCGGGGUGCUCUUAACCGAGUGUCCCGGGGCGCCGUCCGGUUUACUUUGAAAAAAUUAGAGUGCUCAGCGCAGGCUUUCCACGCUUGAAUAUCAGUGCAUGGAAUAAUGGAAUAGGACAUCGUUUCUAUUUUGUUGGUUUUUCGAAAUCGAUGUAAUGAUCAAUAGGGACAGUCGGGGGCAUUAGUACUUGUCAGCUAGAGGUGAAAUUCAAGGAUUUGACAAAGACUAACUGAUGCGAAAGCGUUUGCCAAGGAUGUUUUCAUUAAUCAAGAACGAAAGUUAGGGGAUCAAAGACGAUCAGAUACCGUCCUAGUCUUAACUAUAAACUAUACCGACUCGGAUUCAGAUGAAUAUUAAAGUUCAUUUGGGACCGUAGGAGAAAUCAAAGUCUUUGGGUUCUGGGGGGAGUAUGGUCGCAAGGCUGAAACUUAAAGGAAUUGACGGUUUUGCACCACCAUGGAGUGGAGCCUGCGGCUUAAUUUGACUCAACACUGGGAAACUCAUCAGGGCAAGAAGAUUUUAGGAUUGACAGAUUGAGAGUUCUUUCUUGAUUGGUCUAGUGGUGGUGCAUGGCCGUUCUUAGUUGGUGGAGUGAUUUGUCUGGUUAAUUCCGUUAACGAACGAGACCUUAACCUGCUAACUAGUACUCUGAUCCCUAAUCGGAGGUACUUCUUAGAGGGACUAUGUGUGGUAAGCACAUGGAAGUUUGAGGCAAUAACAGGUCUGUGAUGCCCUUAGAUGUCCUGAGCUGCACGCGCGCUACAAUGACACAUUCAGCAAGUACCUCCUGAUCCGAAAGGAUUUGGGUAAUCUUUUUAGUGUGUGUCGUGAUAGGGAUAGAUCUUUGUAAUUAUGGAUCUUGAACGAGGAAUUCCUAGUAAGCACAAGUCAUCAGCUUGUGCUGAUUACGUCCCUGCAAAAUGUACACACCGCCCGUCGCUUUUACCGAUCGAGUGUUCAGGUGAACCUUCUUGAUAGCGAUUACGCU